rnacentral:rRNA from 1 species
AGAGUUUGAUCAUGGCUCAGGAUGAACGCUAGCUACAGGACUUAACACAUGCAAGUCGAGGGAAACGAUAUUGGAAGCUUGCUUCCGAUAGGCGUCGACCGGCGCACGGGUGAGUAACGCGUAUCCAACCUGCCCCACCACUUGGGGAUAACCUUGACGAAAGUAAGACUAAUACCCAAUGAUAUCUCUAGAAGACAUCUGAAAGAGAUUAAAGAUUUAUCGGUGAUGGAUGGGGAGGCGUCUGAUUAGCUUGUUGGCGGGGUAACGGCCCACCAAGGCGACGAUCAGUAGGGGUUCUGAGAGGAACGGUCCCCCACAUUGGAACUGAGACACGGUCCAAACUCCUACGGGAGGCAGCA